AGAGUUUGAUCCUGGCUCAGGACGAACGCUGGCGGCGUGCUUAACACAUGCAAGUCACGGGGGCCUUUCGGGGCAACCGGCGAACGGGUGCGUAACACGUGAGCAACCUACCCAAGUGUGGGGGAUAGCCGGGCCAACGCCCGGGUAAUACCGCAUACGCUCUCCGAGGGACAUCCCUUGGUGAGGAAACCUCCGGGGCACUUGGAGGGGCUCGCGGCCUAUCAGCUAGUUGGUGCGGUAACGGCGCACCAAGGCAUUGACGGGUAGCUGGUCUGAGAGGAUGGCCAGCCACAUUGGGACUGCGACACGGCCCAGACUCCUACGGGAGGCAGCAGUGGGGAAUAUUGCGCAAUGGGCGAAAGCCUGACGCAGCGACGCCGCGUGGGGGAUGAAGCAUUUCGGUGUGUAAACCCCUGUUGCUCGGGACGAACAAGCCUUUUCGAGGGCUCUGACGGUACCGGGUGAGGAAGCACCGGCUAACUCUGUGCCAGCAGCCGCGGUAAUA
rnacentral:rRNA from 1 species